GACGAACGCUGGCGGCGUGCUUAACACAUGCAAGUCGAACGGAAAGGCCCCUUUGGGGGUACUCGAGUGGCGAACGGGUGCGUAACACGUGAGUAACCUGCCCUUGACUUCGGGAUAACUUCAGGAAACUGGGGCUAAUACCGGAUAGGAAUCCUUGCUGCAUGGUGGGGGUUGGAAAGCUUCGGCGGGUUUGGAUGGACUCGCGGCUUAUCAGCUUGUUGGUGGGGUAGUGGCUUACCAAGGCUUUGACGGGUAGCCGGCCUGAGAGGGCGACCGGCCACAUUGGGACUGAGAUACGGCCCAGACUCCUACGGGAGGCAGCAGUGGGGAAUAUUGCACAAUGGGCGGAAGCCUGAUGCAGCAACGCCGCGUGCGGGAUGACGGCCUUCGGGUUGUAAACCGCUUUCAGCAGGGGCGAAGCUUGUGGUGACGGUACCUGCAGAAGAAGCACCGGCUAACUACGUG
rnacentral:rRNA from 1 species